AACGAACGCUGGCGGCAGGCUUAACACAUGCAAGUCGAGCGCCUUGGCAACAAGGAGCGGCAGACGGGUGAGUAACGCGUGGGAAUCUACCCAUCUCUACGGAAUAACUCAGGGAAACUUGUGCUAAUACCGUAUACGCCCUUUGGGGGAAAGAUUUAUCGGAGAUGGAUGAGCCCGCGUUGGAUUAGCUAGUUGGUGGGGUAAAGGCCUACCAAGGCGACGAUCCAUAGCUGGUCUGAGAGGAUGAUCAGCCACAUUGGGACUGAGACACGGCCCAAACUCCUACGGGAGGCAGCGGUGGGGAAUAUUGGACAAUGGGCGCAAGCCUGAUCCAGCCAUGCCGCGUGAGUGAUGAAGGCCCUAGGGUUGUAAAGCUCUUUCACCGGAGAAGAUAAUGACGGUAUCCGGAGAAGAAGCCCCGGCUAACUUCGUGCCAGCCGCCGAGUUAA
rnacentral:rRNA from 1 species